GUAAGGUACAAAAUUAUUUUUGCAAUAUGUUCCUGAAUAUGUAAUAUAAGUGUAUUGGGAACAUUUUGCAUCCAUAGUUUUGUAUCAAUAUU
rnacentral:pre_miRNA from 1 species